CGGCCAAAAGCGGCACCGAACACAAACUUCAGCGGGUAAUCUGUAAUUUUUCCCCUUAUUAUUAUUAGUUAGAACUGUCUUUCUUGGACUUGACUCGUGAAGCAAUAAAGAGAGAACGUACGAUAGGCAGAUACAACCAAGCUGUGCAUCAUAGUGCUGUGAAGGGGCUGACAGCCAUUAAUGGGAAGUUAAUCAUGUUUGGUAAAAAUGAAUUUAUUGUAACGUAUAUAAGCUGUUCUCGUUCUCGAUGUAGUCAGUCGAUUUCUAUCAUCGACACGGAAACCAGAUUCAUAGCCCCUGGCCGUAUAAGGGAAGGAUCACUUACGACAACUUGCUUUCCUUUCCUCUUUCGUUUUGAAAAAAGCCUUGAUAAUGUUGGAGGAGUCUGCAAGUUAUAAUGGAGGUGGUUCCGAGCCGGCAAGCCCGAUUUCUCAGUACCUGAACAGCUCGGUACUGUCGAUAUCAAUCCUGGGAGUUCUGGAGUUCGAAGUCCCGCUGGAUGAUUUGGAGUCACAAGUCAUUCCGUUGCUCAGCAAUGUCUUCCUUCCCCUCAGCCCCCGCUUCUCUUCCGUCAUGGUUACUGAUGCAAAUGGGAGAAGAAAAUGGAAGAGGGUGAAUGUGAAGCUGGAAGAUCACUUCCACAUUGCUGAAAUGUCCUCUGCCUCUUCUCCAUCUGAAAACAGCGAGUUCCUCCGGGAUUACUUGACCCGGCUAGGGAUGGAAUCACUUCCGCAUAACCGGCCCUUGUGGGAGAUCCAUGCAAUCAAGUACCCGACAACUGAGGCCGCUGCAACCCUAAUAUUCAAGCUUCAUCACUCGCUCGGCGAUGGCUACUCUCUAAUGGGUGCUCUCCUGUCUUGCCUAGAAAGAGCCGAUGACCCUUCUCGACCAUUAACUUUUCCAUCUAUUAUGACGACUCGAACUUCUUUGGGUGGAGAGAGUAGGCUAAAAUGUUUAAGAGCGGUGCCUAAGGUGUUCCCUUUGGUGUACAACACGAUAAGGGAGUUCGCUGUAAGCAUCUUGAAGAGCACGUGUUUGGAAGAUGACUUGAGCCCGGUUCGUUCCGGGGAGGAUGGGGUUGAGUUCAGGCCAUUUGUGAUCGCCACAACGAGUUUCUCCCUAGAUGCUAUCAAGCAAGUCAAGUCUUGGCUCCAAGUGACCAUCAAUGAUGUCAUCUGUGGAAUGGUCUUCCUAGGGAUCCACUUGUAUAUGCAAAAGCAUGGCAAUGGAUCAGCCGGUAAUCGUGCAAAAUCAACGGCCUUGGUUCUUCUAAGCACCCGGGUCCUCCAAGAGUACAAAACAGUUCAGGAGAUGGCUCGACCUGGAUCUAAAUCUCCAUGGGGGAACCAUUUCAGUUUCUUGCAUGUCACAGUACCUAAAUUCACCAAUUAUGAUGCCGAUAAUCCCCUGAAGUUCGUUCACUAUGCGCAUAAGUUGAUUAAGAGGAAAAGAACCUCCCUUGCAGUUUAUCUCACCGGUCAGCUGCUACAGUUUAUAAAGAAAAUCAGAGGUCCCGAGUAUUUCGUUGUAGGCAGCAGCUAAGUAUAUGCGCAGUACGCUUGAGAAUUCGAGCAUGACGAUAACAAAUUUGAUCGGCCCCAUUGAGCAAAUGGCACUAUCUCAGCAUCCUGUCAAAGGACUCUACUACAUGGUUGCCGGAGUUCCCCAGAGCCUGGCAAUAUCUGUACUAAGCUAUACAGGGAAAGUGAGGAUAGCAAUUUCAGCAGAGAAAGAUUUCAUAGACUCUCAGAAGCUUACGUUCUGCAUCAAUGAUGCCUUAACAAUGAUCUCCCAAGCUGCCUCCCCAUAAUCGAUCAUCAGCCCCAGCAACCAUUAGAUAUAUCGAUAUAAUGUGCAAACCAAAAUUCCCAUUCUUUCUGUCACACAGGUGAAGAGGAUGUCCCAUAUUCAAUAUAAGGUCUAUUCAGAUAGAGCUUGUAAUUUUUGGAUGAAACUGUUGAUAAUUACUCGGUUGUUAUUUGAUAAUUGUCAUUCUGCACAUUUCUUGAUGGUGGGAUGCAUCCGGCCACCAAGGAGUUUCUACAGGUUCACUGAUAAGUUCAGAUUGCU